rnacentral:rRNA from 1 species
CCUACGGGUGGCAGCAGUAGGGAAUUUUCGGCAAUGGGGGGAACCCUGACCGAGCAACGCCGCGUGAAGGAAGAAGGAAUUCGUUCUGUAAACUUCUGUUAUAAAGGAAGAAAGACGGAUGGAGGAAAUGACAUCCGAGUGACGGUACUUUAUGAGAAAGCCACGGCUAACUACGUGCCAGCAGCCGCGGUAAUACGUAGGUGGCAAGCGUUAUCCGGAAUUAUUGGGCGUAAAGCGGGAGCAGGCGGCAGCAAAGGUCUGUGGUGAAAGACUGAAGCUUAACUUCAGUAAGCCAUAGAAACCGGGCAGCUAGAGUGCAGGAGAGGAUCGUGGAAUUCCAUGUGUAGCGGUGAAAUGCGUAGAUAUCUGGAGGAACAUCAGUGGCGAAGGCGACUAUCUGGCACAUAACUGACGCUGAGGAGCGAAAGCGUGGGUAGCAAACAGGAUUAGAUACCCUAGUAGUC